rnacentral:lncRNA from 1 species
GUUUGCGGAGACCGGGCCAGCCGCAGAGGUGGAGCUGAGGGUCAAAACCUCCUCCCUGGAGCAGGAGGGCAGAGAGGCCUUCCUUGUACGUUCGAGCGGAUUCAUAAGAUAAAUGGUGAAGGACUCAGAUGGCUGAGAUGAGAUUUUGUAGAAAAACCUCGCCGAGUGCCAAGUGCAGCUAGGGCUUCAGGAGUCCAGCCUGGUUUGUAAGCCUCGAGGAGCCCACGCGUGGCCGCAGGUGCAAAUGGUCUCAGAGCAGCCAUGCACGGGAGAAUUCCUCCCAGGGAGAAACGCCGUGAAUGUGACUUCUAGGGACACGCACAGCCGGUGGAAACCGUAUGCAUGUAGUGUGCAUAGGUGAGAUGUAAUGGAACACUGGAGAAGCACCUUGUGAACGUGGGAAGGGUUUCGCGCAUGCUCAGGCUCCGUUCGGGAUCAGAACAUUCCCGCAGGAGAGAAGCCAAUGAGCAGCACUGGACGUGGCCACACCUUCGUGGAAGCGCUGGUCCUCAGGCAUCAGAGUGGACAUAGAGAGGCCCUGCAAAUGUAAUGACUGUGGGAACGCCCGCCUCCUGAGUUCAUGCUGCCGUGAGGGAGCGGACUGUGGGUGCGGGCAUGCGGAAAGGUCUCAGAUAAUCCCCACUGGAGAGGAACACUGUGGAUGUCAUCCACGCAGCAGAAUCGGAUAAAUUGCACCAAGGGACCCCACCCCCACCCCCUGUGCAGUGACCACCGCAAAACCUUUAAGCAAAGAUCUCAUGCCCCGAAAUGCCAGGGCCGUCACCAGGGAUGCAGCAGGGAGUGAAACACCCAUCUCUUUUCUCACACCAAACCGUAGCCAAGGGAUUCACCACGAGGUGAGCCGGUGCGAGAGGGAGGACUCUGCAGGCGGAGACUGCCCUCGGGGUUGUGGCCUCAGAACGGGGUCCUGCUCCCUGGAGACAUGGACCCUGUUUCUUACAGUAGCUUUUGUGCAUCAUGGGCAGGCAGUGCCAGUUGACACCAAUCAAGUCUCAACACUCAGCCUGCACACGUGCAGAUCCUCUGGAAAAACGCAGCCCCUCCCAUCCUCAGAUCCUAAGAGAGGUAGGGGCCUUGCCCAUUAGCUGACUCCAAGACAACCUGGCUGGGACUAGAAGGUGAGAGCCAACCCCUGCGGCUGCUACAAGCCCCACAGGAGGCCCGGGGAGGGUUUCCUGGCAGUGUCUUCCGAGUCGCCGCAAGUUUCUGCCCAGUUUUCACAGCCUGCUCUUCCCUGGGUUCCGGCUGGGUCUCUUCCUCAGGUAUGGCUCCACGCCUCCCCUGCCCAGUUGAUGCAGGUCUCGCUCUGAUCACAUCCAGUUCCUGUAGACCAUUGGCCACUCACCAGGCCGCUUUGCCUUGCGUUUUCUAGGGUCUUGUUUCAUGGGGUCAUGGGAACCCACUCAGGGACCACCCAACUACCUGAGAGGCCCACUGGAAAACGCAGAUUCCCAGGCCCCACCCCAAGGGAUUCAGCAGGCCUCAGGGGAAGCCAGGAAAUCUGGAUUUAGUUCAAAUACCCAAAUACAUUGAUCAUGGGCCUGGUUCGGGAAUCUGUUCUCCUCCAAGCCCUCAAAGCAGGAGCUGCUGGCCUGCCCUCUGCAAGGCCGCUGCCCAGGCUCUCCUCAGACACCACCUGGACGGGCAGCUCGAGCCGUGGGACGCCCCUGCUUGGGCCAGAAUCGGGUCCUGCACCUCAGACCUGCAGGGCCCAGCUCGGCCUCUGGGCCUCUGGCAGCCGCGCCCUGCCUGGCACCCCCUGCCUCCGUGACGCCCCAUCUCUCUCUCUACAACGUAGCCCCGUGCUAGUUCACAGCCUCGCGACCCCU